rnacentral:lncRNA from 1 species
UGCGCUAUCAAUUCGGUAGCUAAGUCAUUUUUGAAGAGUGCAAAGUCCACAAUCUGCAGACCAGGGCUUGGACUGCUGAAGCUAGGAAAUGCAAUGGCCGGAGUGUCACCUCCAUUCACUUGGAAGUGCAAUAGUCCUUGAGGGAACACGAUAAUGUCACCCUUCUUAAGAGUUUUCAGAUAAGGUGUGUUAUCUGAGGCAACAAACCCGGCAAUUAUUGUCCCUUGGACAACAAGUAAAACUUCUGAAGCUCCGGGGUGAGUGUGAAAGGGGACAACUCCACCCGGACCCAGGUCUAAACGAGCCAGUGAAAUGCCAAGGCCAUUCACACCAGGAAAUUGGGCAGCAAAUGCAGGGGUGACUGCUGCUUUGAAGAUAUUUGUGGUGUUACCAGCAAUGCCUAGGCCUGAGUACACAAAAUCAUUGACGGUAACUAUUGCGGGCUUUUUGCAAGAGUAGCCUGCAGGGCCAUCAGGAGCUUUGUAGUCUGCAACACAGAAGUCUUGCACAGAGGCAUGGGAAGUGGAGAGGAGGAGAAAAAAUGUGAAGAAGAUAGGGAAAAUCAUCUUGGCUGAGUGUAGCAGGUAUUUGUUUAAGCCUUUUUGAGGUGUGCUUCUGUAAAGCAAAUUGGGAUUUACAUAUAUAGCGGGAUAAAGCGAAUAUCUUGAACCACUGCAAUUGGUUGGUACUAGGUAGGAAUUUGCCCAUAUAGGACUCACAUGCAGGGGCGGUGGCAGGGUAGGCAGCCGCCAACUCCAUUUUUUGCCAAACUAAAAAUUACUCAAUACCCAAUACAAUCAAAUUUCUUCUGUUUACUCAAACCCAACCCACCAGGGGCAGUCCUACCCUAAGAGCAGGGUAGGCAGCGGCUACUCCAUUUUUUGCCAAACCAAAAAUUAUCCAAUACCCAAUACAAUCAAAUUUCUUCUGCCUACUCAAACCCAACCCGCUCAAAUUUUUUCCUUUAACAAAAACAAUAGCCUAGCACACUCAAACUUUCUCCUUUAACAAGAACAAUAAAAAGCAAUAUAAGCAUGUGAAAGAUGUGAAAGUUGUAUGAAGAUUUUUUUUUUUUUUAAAAUUACAAAAAAGGUGGUAGGAGUGUCACCUCUUCGAGCCGGGCACGAAUUAUGGGAAAGUUCUCCCCAAGAGGUUCGUUACACAUGCAGAGGAUCGAACUCAGGACCUCAGUGUGGAGCCCGAUCACAUUCGCCCAACAUGUGUGGCCUAGCCCAUUCAAUUUUCCACUAGACCAAACCCACUUGGGUAUGGAGAUAUUUUUCAACGUUGACUAACAUUGUGAAUUUUGUUAGUGCGUCUGCUAAGCGCUGUAAUGAGUUAAAUUUAUUUCGAAAAGCUAAACUCAAAGAGUUGUUAGAUUUUGGGGAACUUGAGACAGAUAGAAGACUUAAUCAAGGUCGUAGUUUGAAACGAGCUGGAGCCGCUCGUUGGGGAUCUCACUUUGCCUCUAUUACAAGUUUGAUGAGUUUAUUUAAAGAGACUAAAAUACUUCUCCAAGAAAUCAGUGAUUAUGGACCUAACCAACAAUUUCAUGGCAAUGCAAAGAGUAACUAUAUUGCUAUGAUGUCUUUUGAGUUUGUGUUUUCAUUGUUUUUGAUUGAUAAAAUAAUGGGAUUGACCAACUUUCUUUGUCAACUGUUUCAGACAAAAACCUAAGAUAUUGCAAGUGCUUUAAACUUUGUUGAAAACACGAAAUCACAGUUCCAAGAUAUGAGGGCACAUGACUGGGAUGAUUUAUUCAUGGGUGUGGUAUCAUUUUGUGAACAACAUGGUAUUAAUGUUCCUGAUAUGAGUUCUCGUUAUAUGAGUCCCUACCAUAAGAAUGAGGAAACCCGCUUCUUUAUUAUAUUUUGUAAAUAUCUCUUCCUUCCCUUCCAAAGAAUAUUUUUCUUAGAAGUCGGCGAAUCGUAAAAGGACUUGUAUAAAAUGAUUGCUAUCUUUCGGCUUUCCACUUACCCGGUUCCCCACGCGGCGAAUGGGUACGUCCGGGGUCGAUCGUAUAGAUUGACGCAAAAUUUUUUUAUUUUAACGAAUCGUGCCGCCGAAGAAACCUCACCCUAACCACAUAAAGCCAAAAAAUUAGCGGUCGUUUUUGUCAAUAAAAAGAUUUUAUUACAGUUGAACAUUACUAUUACAUUAAUGUAUUUAAUGAUGUGAUAGAUUGCAUGGUGAGGGAGUUAAAUGACAGAUUUCUAGAGCAAACAGUUAAACUUUUUAUUUUUAGCUCAGCAUUUGAUCAUCGUAAUUCCUUCAAAUCAAUCAAUAUUGGGCAUCUAUGUAAACUUGCUGAGAAAUUCUAUCAUGCUGAUUUCAGUCCAAGUGACUUGAAAGCUUUAGAAAUUGGGAUGAGGUAUUUCAAAAUGAUAAGCAUCGCCUUCCCCGCUUUAAGGACCUCACCACUCUUCCUCAGUUAUGUCAACAAUUGGUGGAAACAACUUUGGGAGAAAACUACUAUUUGCUUUACAAGUUGAUUUAGUUGGUGUUGACUCUUCAUGUUUCUACAGCAACAAAGAACGAGCUUUUUCAUUUAUGAGAAUUAUUAAGAAUAGACUUUGGAGCACCAUAGCUGAUGAAUUCCUUACUGAUUGCAUGAUUCUCCACAUUGAAAGAGAGUUUGCUCAUAAUAUCGAUAAUGAAGAGAUAAUUGAGGAAUUUAAGAUUUUUAAGCCUUGCAGGGUAAAGUUUUAGAUUUAAAUAGUUUAGUUUUGUGUUGCAUUGCAUUUACUUCUUGUUUUUCUGUUAAGCGUUUAUUUAUAUAUAGAUAUGCAUAUUUGAUGGUAAGGCUCAUUACGUCCCCCCUAACUAGAUGUAUCUUUUUCUUCUUUUUUUUGUGCCCCUAAAGUGAUAAUUUGUUAGCCUUUUCCCAUCUGUGUUCUAUAGCUAUGACCAAUCAAACAGAUGAAGUAUAUAUUCAGCAUAUGCUGCAACUAUUUUCCUGAAUUGAUCAAUACAUUAACAAAAUAUAUAGGCUUAUUUCAUGUGUUGCUAGUACUGAAGGUUGUGUUUUAAGAUUUGAAGUCCAGCAGGAGAAGCCGAAAAAUGGUGAGCAGAUUGUGGUCCUUGAGAAAAUGGGGAAAGAUAUUCCAGGGAAGCCAUUUUGACUGCUAAAAGGUGCCAGAGGACUGGGAAUUCUGUGGAUAUCAGAAAUUCCCCUUCUUGUAGGGUUCUUGGAUUUCAAUAUAGGAUGGUAAAAAGUCUUUACAACUUCUGUCUCUUUCUGGUGUAUCUUUACUAAGAUUCUUCUAGAGUUCACCUUAUCAUCGGAAGAUGGCACCAACACCACAUUGAUUUUACUUGAAUAUGAGCCAAUGAUUACCAAAAAAGAAAAAAGAAAAACAAAUUUGUAUGAGAGCAAAUGUAGAAUAAUGUAUGGACAAUUAAUUCAACCUCAAUUAUGUGUUAUGACAUAAUGGAAAAACUCAUAUUCAUAUAAAGAUAUAGACAAUCUAAUCUCAAUUGUGUUAUGUUAAUAAGUAAUUUUUUCGUCCUUAACCAAGUUGACAGAGAAAAAUUAAGGAGUCCCAAGCGCAUUGCUCUUACACCCGCACCGUGUACACCCGCCUUUGUAACACUUUCCCGGCUCAUGGACGCCCGUCACCUGGAGUCAGUAAAAUAUGUACAAUGUAGACAUCAUAAGAAGAAAGCAGCACUAUCACUUACAUCAACCACAAGAAUACCACCUGCCACUUCCUCAUCCUCAAAGUCCUGCAUACCAGUUAUAUAUUGGGGAAGGUUAGAAAAACAGCUGGAAGAAGUACUAAGAAGAAAGGAGCAAUAUCACUUACAUCAUCAACAAUAUGAAUACCACCCGCCACUUUCUCAAGGUCCUGCAUUCCAGUUAUAUAUUGUGAAUUGAAAAUUAGAGAAACAGCUGGAAGGAGAACUAAAUUAACAUGUACCUUUAUGUACAACAUGGUUUAAAAUUCAAAUCACUUUAUGCACCUCUAUAUAGGAACCAUUGGGACCAAAAAGAAGUGUUUUCAGUUCGGAAUGUUGUUCCUGCACAAAAUAUAGAUUAGACCAAAGGCUCAUAUUACUUGCCUAAUGCUCACAUUAAUUCCAAAUUUGAUAAAAAUUAUGAAGAUCAAGCAAAAUCUUUAACACCAUGUUCCAGUGCUGAAGUUAAGAAGUACGCCACUUAAUUAAUGGUGUGCAGAAAGGAAAUAAUACACAGCUGUUUAAUUGUUUUUGCUAGAUGUUUUUCUAACUGUUGGCAAUAUAAUUGGGGUGCAGGCACUUUAAAAACUGGCAGGUUGUAAUGUUGUUCUUGCUGAGGUAAGUGUUACAGUUGCUUUGUGAUUUUGAUGGCUACAUUGCUUGCACAUCUUGUUCUAUCUAAUAUUUUUAAUUUGCAUGUAAACUAUCAGUGGAAGGAGGCAUUAUUUUAGCUAUAGGCCCAUUUGAAGGAUUAAGGUUGAUGAGGACAUUCAUGGAAGACUGCAUUGUUUGCAACGGUUCCCCUCGAAACCCUUAUCCGUCGGGUUAGAGAUGUGGAUCGUAUGGCUGUUUACGGUAAUCUGCGUUAUAUCUCUGGUGACGGCUUUGAGUGCAAGGAAUGAUUUUGGAGCCGUUGCCUUCUUUUCUCUGUGAAUUCUGAAUUCUAUAUGGGGUCGAGAGUAGUAUUGAACAUUAGUAUAUUAAACAAUUUCCUCCGUUCAUCAAACAUUAUUUUGGUAUAUAUAGUUACCAACUUUCCAUAUUAUCCUUACUUUUUCAAAUUUUUUUCUUAACAAUACGAUAUUCUAAACUACUCUAAAAUACGGGGAGGGAGAUUUGAGCUUAGGUGCAACUGGGUGGACACAGCUGCUAAUGCGUAUGCUCCUUAGUUUCAAAUCUAUUAUUUGAUUAGUUCGGGGUUUUAGAGUAUAUUAUAUCAUUCUUAUUUCUUGAUUGACAAAGCAGGUUAUCUUAAUAAUAUAGAUAUUACAACGAAUCUGGACCUGGAGAUGCAUUGUCAUCUUAAUUAAGAUACAAAUAGAUGGGGCAUUUGCCUUCAACACAAUGAUACUUCUACAAGCAUACAAAAAGCACGAACUAGAGUAAAAUUUUACUGGUAAUGCAGAAACUGCCACUGGGCAAAACAAUCCUAAACUUACAGGCCUUCUCAAUCACAACAAGAAAACAAAGGGACAUGAAAUAAAAGAAAGAUUCAAUCUUUAGUGACCUUCUUCCUCUUCGGUAUCUCAAUAGACCUUAAUUAGUGCCACCAAGAACACCCUUAAGCUUCUUUAUCUGAGCAGCAUCAAGGAAAGUAGUCUGCGCUAUCAAUUCGGUAGGUAAGUCAUUUUUGAAGAGUGCAAAGUCCAGAAUCUGCAGACCAGGGCUUGGACUGCUGAAGCUAGGAAAUGCAAGGGCCGGAGUGCCACCUCCAUUCACUUGGAAGUGCAAUAGUCCUUGAGGGAACACCAUAAUGUCACCCUUCUUAAGAGUUUUCAGAUAAGGUGUGUUAUCUGAGGCAACAAACCCGGCAAUUAUUGUCCCUUGGACAACAAGUAAGACUUCUGAAGCUCCGGGGUGAGUGUGAAAGGGGAUAACUCCACCCGGACCCAGGUCUAAACGAGCCAGUGAAAUGCCAAGGCCAUUCACACCAGGAAAUUGGGCAGCAAAUGCAGGGGUGACUGCUGCUUUGAUGAUAUUUGUGGUGUUACCAGCAAUGCCUAGGCCUGAGUACACAAAAUCAUUGAUGGUAACUUUUGCAGGCUUCUUGCAAGAGUAGCCUGCAGGGCCAUCAGGAGCUUUGUAGUCUGCAACACAGAAGUCUUGCACAGAGGCAUGGGAAGAGGAGAGGAGGAGAAAAAAUGUGAAGAAGAUAGGGAAAAUCAUCUUGGCUGAGUGUAGCAGGUAUUUGUUUAAGCCUUUUUGAGGUGUGCUUCUGUAAAGCAAAUUGGGAUUUACAUAUAUAGCGGGAUAAAGUGAAUAUCUUGAACCAUUGCAAUUGGUUGGUAGGAAUGUGCCCAUGUAGGACUCACAUGUGGAAAGAUGUUAAGCAUACGGCAAACGACAGAUUUCAAGCUAGCUGUGAUGCAUGUGAACAUGAUAUUUUCUUCAUAUAACAACAAGAAGCCUCUUUUUGCUUUUGAAAAUGCAGUAACAGCAAGAUCUUAUUAAGAAAACAACUGACCUACGGUUUCAGAGUUAUCACUAAUUAAUCAUGCUGCAUAUCUAACAAGAGAAUCCAAGGUUUUGUUUUAAGAUUAAAAGUCCUUGAAGGUCUGAAAAAGGCACAACAGAUUGCGGUCCUUGAGGUUUGAGCACAUGGGAGAAAGAUAUUAUGGGGGCAUAAGAAGACAUUUUGACAGCUAAAAGGAGGCAGGAAAAUGGGAAUGUGUGGCUAUGAGAAGUUCCCCUUCUUGCAGGGUGCUUGGAUUUCAUUAUUGAGAACUGUAAAGUCUUCUCAAAUUCUGUCUCUUUGUAUGUCUUAGCUGCAAUAUUCCUCUAGAGUUGAGUCAAUGUAGAAACUUAUAUUACAAAUUACACAUCGUGCCUUGAGCUUCAUGCACGUAAUAUCGAUGCCUCAGUUGAAGUUUCUCACUAAUAUGCUUUAUAGCAGUGGAUUUUCAAAACAAUGCCCCUAUAAGUUAUGCUACGUUCUAUUUACCAACAUUUACUGUCAAUUUUUUUUACGCAGAUUUGGCUUAGAGACAAACGAAAUGUGGCGGUAACUUUUCUCUUUUGGUCAUAAUCUGUGGUUAAUUUGAGUUCAGUUACUUCAUUACUCAGUUGCAGAAUGUAAAAAUGAGAAGGAAUCUUUUCUUUUGCCUAGGUCUAAAAUCCUAUAUUUUGCGUGUGUGGUGUUUAUAGAAGCUUUCAAGAUAAGGUUAUGAGCUUUUAGGAUAACCAUCCGCAGGGUGUAGCCUUCCAUCUUUCACUUUCAGCCAACAAAUACAAAAGCUCCGUACAGAAUUUUGUUUGUGAAGUUGUCCAAAACACUAUGAUAUGUGCCACUGAUUCUAAAUACAAAAAAAUAUAGAUACAAUAGUAUAGAAUGAGUUAUAUAUCAACAGUACAUUAUACAAUUCUGAGUGAAGGAAAAAAGGUACAUAUAAAAUUCUUUGCAUGUAAAGAAUCUGAAGAUCAAGAUUUAAACACAGAAUGUCAUGCUUAAAUAGAAAAAAGGUUAUGAGCAACACCCAGAAACCAAAUCACCAAAAGCUAAAUUCAAAUCAAAAACCAGAAAAGGGAGUUCUGCCCAUUUCUCAUGAACCAAAUCACCAAAAGCUAAAUAUGAACUUAAAUGGAUGAGAUUUGAGGAUUUGAAGGAAUGAGAGAAAAUGAUGGGACAGUCCCUCCAAUAAAGCAUGAGGUUCAUGAAAUUUCAUUACAUUAGAAAAUAAAGCUUCAAAGGGGAAAAUGAUAAAUAAGUUUUUGGUAUUUCCUGUUUGUUCAAAAAAAGAAAAAAAAAAGAAAAAAAAAAGUAGGGAUAGAUUGAAUGGUUGAGGAUGAAUGAGAAGAUUGAGCAUUGUGCAAAUCUUGUUUGCAAUACUGGUUUCCUUAAUUAUGUUAAGUGAAAAGUAAUAUGAAAAUAAAUUAAAUAUCAAUCUCUUUUUGUUAUUUAUUGGACAAUGUGGGUAAAGUCAAAAUGUCAAAAGGAAAAAAAGCUCGUAGAAGAAGAAAAAGUAGGUCCAGUAAAGUGACUAGGCAAUAUCGAAUUAAAUUAAAUAUGUAUAGAAAGAAGAAUGGCAAAAUCUGGCAAUAUAAAAAUGAAAAGGAAGAACAGGAAUGAUAGUAUCCACAGAAAUCUGUCCAUGGGAUCUUAAUUACUGCACCUCCUGGGUUAACAUUCCAAAUGUACCAUCUUUUUCCAAACUGUUGCACGCUGAUUUGAAGGGGAAAAUCCCCAUCCAAUUGUUGUACAUCUUCAGCUGUGUCUGACUUGUGUCUCCUCAUAAAAGAAAAUCUGAGGAAAAGUUAAACAAUUAGAAUACAACAUUAAAACCAGGCAAGCAUCAUGGAUUAGUGGUAAGGAUUAAAGUCAGCAAAUCCAGUCUUAAAACAGGCAUACUAAUUGAGUACUUCUGUCAGUAUAUAUAUGGAAUGGACUCUAAAUUUGACCCAAGGUUGAAGUUGUUUAAGGAAAAGAGACCUCAUUUUAUCAUCUCCUUCAGGUAAUUACCUAAUUCCCUCUGGCCACUUGGGGUUGUGUUAGCUUGAUAUACAUUGCUAAUCCCAUUUCUUGGCAACUUUUUGUUGGAUCUAGUGGUUCCCUUUUGAAAUUAUCCCAAGGGAUAAAUUCCCAAUAGUUUUAAUAGUAAAAUAAAUUUUACAGGUUGUUAUUUUCUGGAUUCUACAUUAACACUUUAAUCAUGCUCCUUUGCAUAUCAAUAACAAAUUAAUCUAAUUAGAAACAUUGGACAUUCUUGACAGAAAUUAUUUACUUACGUACACUAAUCCAAUACUAAUCACCAGGCACUGAGUGAUCAAAAGUGAUGGAAGUACUGCAUUGGAUUGCAUUCAUUCUGUCCAUUUUAGCAACCAUUCACAACCAUAUAGGCCUUGUGGAAGCUUCUACUGACAUAGGUGUUUGCUAUGGAAUGUUAGGAGAUGAGCUCCCUGCUGCUACAGAAGUGGUUAAUCUGUACAAAAAAUAUGGCAUUGGCAAAAUCAGACUUUAAUCCAAAUCCUGCAGCACUCCAAGCACUGAGAGGGAGCAAUAUCGACGUCACUCUAGGCAUCCCGAAUGAAGAAAGCCAAUUUGGCAGGAAGUCAAGGUGCUGUGAACACAUGGUUUGCAGCCAAUGUAGAGCCCUAUGUAAAUGACAUUGUCUUCAAUCACAUUGCUGUUGGCAAUGAGGUCAUUCCUGGUUCCUUGGCCGAGCACAUUUUGCCUGUCAUGAAGUAUCUACAGAACGUCAUAAAUGACAAAAACUUAGAUGGUAUUAAGGUGACCACUGUUUUGUCAGGGACUGCAUUAGCAUCGUCAUAUCCGCCUUCAAAUGGCGCAUUCAAACCAGGGGCAAGCAAUGUUAUGAGUGCCAUUCUUGCAUUUUUAUCGGCACGAGGAUCACCCCUUAUGAUCAAUGUGUAUCCUUACUUUGCCUACUCAUCUGACCCUGCCAAUAUACACUUGAACUACGCUCAAUUCACUGCAACUAGUCUUGUGGUUCAGGACGGGGCCCUGAGCUAUUAUAACCUGUUUGAUGCCACGGUGGAUGCUUUUUUUCGCAGCAAUGGAGAAAGCAGGAGGGGGCGGUGUUGGUGUUGUGGUGUCUGAGAGUGGUUGGCCUUCUGAUGGUAAUGGAGAUUUCACCACUCCAGAACUUGCAAGGACAUAUAACAGGAAUUUCUUGAAGCACAUAACCUCAAAGGCAGGGACACCAAAAAGACCUGGUGCUUACAUUGAGGGGUACAUUUUUGCCAUGUUCAAUGAGAAUCAGAAACCUGAAGGUGUGGAGCAGCAUUUCGGACUUUUUCAUCCUAACAUGCAACCUGUUUAUCCUGUGUUUUAAAUCAAGACACACCAAGUUUCAAGUCAAAUUAUGUAUCUAUAAUGUAAUAAAGACGUGAGUGAUCUUGAAAUUUGGGAUAAACAAUCAAUUCCCAAUAGUAUCUAUGUUGGUAGCAAUACAAAAUUGCUUCACCAUUGUUGGGAAAUUGUGAUCUUCUUGAUGCCUUUUAAUUAUAAUUUCAUGUUGUUUCAUUCUCUUUCUUUAUUUUUGUUUUUUGUUUCAGUCUCUCUCGGAAAAUAGCAGAGCAUUUGGAUUCUGGUAAAAUGAAGUUGGAUUUGAGGAAUCAAAGAAAUGAGAGGAAAGGGUAGGAAGAAAAUGAGGGUAUCUUUGAUUGCCUCCUCACAUGUCGGGUUAUUUAAGCCUAACAUUUUGGGUGAUGUGGGAUGUGGGGCGUGGGACGUUGGGCUCAACACGUGGACAUUAUGCUUUGAUAUCGCAUCAAAAUAUGAGCAUGCAACCCAAAACUAAUCGACAAUGAAUUAGUAAUUCAAUUCCCCGAUAUGGGAGGAUCCUCAAAUAAAUGCAGCAUAAGGUUUCAUGAAGUAUUACAACAUCGAGUUUCGUUAACUUGGUAGUCAAGUAUCAUGCUCGAUAUCAUUUCGCAUAUCAAAUUUAAAGUUCGCCUAGAGCUAGUGAUUUUCUUUUUGACACUAGAAAUCCGAUUUUUUUUUUAAUAGAAUCGUUUACUAAAGAAAAUCAAAUCAUUAUAAGCGGUGUAAUUUAAGCCUGAACCAAUAUUUUCAUUUAUUAAAGAAAUCACAGAAGAAGAUACUCUUGCACUCCAGAAUCAAUAUUUUUAUCAUUAUCAAAGUAAUAUCUACCUGUAAAUUCCUCAAGUUUGUCUGGAUUCAUUGUAUCUGCUAGCUGUUCAUAGCUUUGCACUUGUUUUAGGGAUUUAAUUACUGCCAUAAAAUACUUAAUUUUAAGGAUUUAAUUACUGCAGUAAAUUGCUUAAGUAAAUGCAUUUACUUGCUAUUAUUGGCCAACUCUUGUAAAUAUAAAAUCUCCCCUCUAUGAGAUGAAUAAUUCUCAGAAAAUUCACAGCCUUUUCGGACCGACUGCUAGCUUCUUUUAAGGUACGGGUCAUGCUAGGGAGACCAACUUUAGAUACCAACUUGUGUACCAACUCUCUAAUAGAGGUGGAGCCCACCAAUACAAUGGGGUCCCACACUCUAUUAAAAGAGUUGGUACACAAGUUGGUAUCUAAAGUUGGUCUCCCUAGCAUUUUCCUUAAGGUACAUACUGCUAGCUCCAAACUUUUUGCCUUUUUCUUUUUUUUCUUUUUUUUGUCACUCGUUAAUUUAUUUAUGUAUACUACUGCAGGUGUAAAUAUUAGCAGGCACUCCGUAAGCAGAAAGUGAUGGCAGCAGUGCCUUGGGUUGCACUCUUUCUGUCCUUUGCAGCAACCAUCCACAACCAUAUAGGCCUUGUGGAAGCUUCAGUUGACAUAGGUGUUUGCUAUGGAAUGUUAGGAGAUGACCUCCCUGCUGCUACAGAAGUGGUUAAUCUGUACAAAAUAAACGGUAUCGGCAAGAUGAGGCUCUUUGAUCCUAAUCCGGCCGCACUCGAAGCACUGAGAGGGAAAGAAAUUGAUGUCAGUCUAGGCAUUCGAAACGAAGACUUGCCCCAAUUGACAGGAAGUGCAGAUGCUGUGAACUCAUGGUUUGCAACCAAUGUAGAGCCCUACCUGAAUGACAUUGUCUUCAAUUACAUUUCUGUUGGCAAUGAGGUUAUUCCAGGGUCCUUAGGCAUCUAUGUUUUGCCUGUAAUGCAGUCUCUACAGAAAAUUCUCGAUGAUAGAAACUUGGCUGGUAUUAAGGUGUCCACAGUUGUGCCAGGGUCUGCCUUAGGAGUUUCAUUUCCACCUUCAAGUGGCGAGUUCGCACUAGAGGCAAGCAGUGUCAUGAGUGGCAUUGUUGCAUUUUUAGCACAGCGAGGAUCACCCCUUCUGAUCAAUGUGUAUCCCUACUUUUCUUAUGCAUCAGACCCUGUCAAUAUUCGCUUAGACUAUGCUCAAUUUACCGCAACAAGUCCAGUGGUUAAGGAUGGGGAGUUGAGCUAUUAUAACCUGUUUGAUGCCGCAGUUGAUUCUUUUCUGGCAGCAAUGGAAAAAGUAGGCGGGGCAAAUGUCGAUGUGGUGGUGUCUGAGAGUGGUUGGCCUUCUGAUGGGAAUGGAAAUUUCACCACUCCAGAACUUGCAGGGACAUAUAACAGGAACUUCUUGAAACAUAUAACCUCAAACGCUGGGACACCGAAAAGACCUGGUGCUUACAUUGAGGGGUACAUUUUUGCCAUGUUCAAUGAGAAUCAGAAACCUGAAGGUGUGGAGCAGCAUUUCGGACUUUUUCAUCCUAACAUGCAACCUGUUUAUUCUAUAUAUUAAAGAUCCAAGACCAAGCACAUCAGCUAUCUUAGCCUAGUGGUAGUUUUCUUCCCAACAUCGAAUUAGGUCUAAAGUUCGAAUUCCCUCCCUACUCCCUCCCAUCAACUUAGUAUAGUGGUAGUUCUCUUCCCAACAUAGUAUUAGGUCCCAAGUUCAAAUUAUUUUCCCAUUCAUGACAAAUCAUGUAUCGAUAACAUAUCAAUAAAGAGUUAAUUAUGCAUUCAAACAUCUGAAAUCUCUGUGUUUUUUUUUUCUUGUGAGUUAUCUGAUCUUGUAUUUUUGAACAUUACAACAUUGACUAUUUAAGGUUUGGGUUGGUUUAUACACAGUAACCAAAUUAUAUUAUCCUGCUCACUUGAAUGGCUUUGAAAUGAUCUCUGUUCUUUUCUUUUUUAUUUAUCUCUGAACAAGUAAUUUAUUUUUUUAAACCGGGUAAUACAAUAUCCACAAAGAACAAGAAAAGUUUCAAAACCAAGAGAGUGGUUCCCCUUUCCCAGUUGCUUUGCUCUGAAAAGGGUAGUUUGUAUUGUAUGUACCCAACAACAGGUUCUUGGGUGUAGAAAGUCUUCCUGUUGUACUUGGUCAAGGGUGCAUUAAGCUUAAAUCUCAAAACCCAGUCAAGGUUUGAGAUAAAAAGGUGACCAUACGACACUAAAAGCAUCCCAGCAACAAACAUACCCUGUUAAGCUUUUCUUAAAGUCCUAUCUACCAUGAAACCUGUUUAUCCUUUAUUUUAAGACCAGGAGUCCAAGACAGGACAGGUUUCAUGGGAAUUCAUGAGUUCAUGCAGAAAACCAAAGCUUCAUAAGGGAAAAUGGACAACUAAACUUUUGCACCUUCUGUUUGUUCACAACAUUUCCUUAUGGAGAAAAAAAUAUAAAAGGAAUGGUACAAUGAAUAACAUGCAUCCACAGAAAAUUUUCCAUUGGAUUGUCUUAGUUAAUUUGUGCACCUACAUAGAACACAGGUUAGCAUUCUAAAUCAUUCCAAAUUUGCUCUUUUCCAAAAAAGUUCAUACUUAUCUUAACCUCUACUUAAUAUAUAAUGCCAGAUACGUAAACAAAACCUCAUGUAGAUGCUGUAGUUCACCUGUGUAUUGUCUCUCAAUUAGGACAGAACACCUAAAGCCAGACAAGCUUCAUGGACGUAGACAGUAAGAAAACUCCAAGCCAGAAAAUCCAGUCUCAAAAGAGGCACAUUAGUUGAACCUUGUACUUGUUACAUAACACAUUGUUGGUAUAUAUAUAGGAGUGGACACUUAGCAAAUACUCAAGUUAGUUAAGGUAGACAGACUCCAAUUUUCGUUAUCUGGAUCAGGAAAUCUAAUCCUUCCUGCAGCAACCGGUGUGCACCAUAAAGCCGAUCAGUGUUCCUUGAGGUAGUAUCUUCAUGCUAGCUCCACACGUUUUGCUUUCUUGUGUGUCAAACAUUAAUUUAUUAAGUGCACUUAUGCAGGUUUAACAGGCACUCAGCAAUCAGAAAGUGAUGGCAGUACUGCAUUGGGUUGCAAUCAUUUUGUCCUUCGUAGCAGCUAGUCACAACCGUAUAGGCCUUGUGGAAGCUUCAAUUGACAUAGGUGUUUGCUAUGGAAUGUUAGGGAAUGACCUGCCUUCUCCAACACAAGUGGUAAAUCUCUACAAAACAUAUGGUAUUGGAAAGAUGAGGCUCUUUGAUCCUAACCCAGAAGCACUCCAAGCACUCAGAGGAAGCCAAAUUGAUGUCAGUAUAGGCAUUCGAAAUGAAGACUUACCCAGUUUGGCAGUUAGUCAAGAUGCUGUAAACUCAUGGUUUGCAACCCACGUAGAGCCUUACCUUAAUGACAUUGUCUUCAAUCACAUUACGGUUGGCAAUGAGAUUAUUCCCGGGUCCUCAGGCAACUAUGUUCUGCCUGUAAUGCAGUAUCUACAGAAGAUUCUCGACGAUAGAAGCUUGGCUGGUAUUAAGGUGACUACUGUUGUCUCAGGGGCUGCCUUAGGAGUUUCAUAUCCACCUUCAAGUGGUGCAUUCACACUAGAGGCCAGCAGUACCAUGAGUGGCAUUCUUCCGCUUUUAGCACAACGAGGAUCACCCCUUAUGAUCAAUGUGUAUCCUUACUUUGCCUACGCAUCAGAUCCUGUCAAUGUUCACUUAGACUAUGCUCAAUUUACUGCAACAAGUCCUGUGGUUCAAGAUGGGACGUUGAGCUAUUAUAACUUGUUUGAUGCCACAGUUGAUGCUUUUAUUGCAGCAAUGGAGAAAGUAGGCGGAGCUAACGUCGAUGUGGUGGUGUCUGAGAGUGGUUGGCCUUCUGAUGGGAAUGGAGAUUUCACUACUCCAGAACUUGCAGGGACAUAUAACAGGAAUUUAUUGAAGCAGGUAACCUCAAGGGCAGGGACACCAAAAAGACCUGGUGCUUACAUUGAAGCCUACAUUUUUGCCAUGUUCAAUGAGAAUCAAAAACCUGAUGGUGUGGAGCAACAUUUUGGGCUUUUUCAUCCUAACAUGAAACCUGUUUAUCCUGUAUUUUAAAGAUUCAGAACAAAAUAUCCUUCAUGUAUUAAUAAAGAUAUAGUUACACAAACAUCUCUAACAUUUUUUUGUGAGUUUUCCACUUGAUUUGAACUCUACAUCUGAAAAUUACAACACUGAGAAUUUAAGGUUUGGGUUUUGGUUUACAAAGCAAUAAGCAGAUAAAACUACCUCAGAAUCAUGUCGCGUAAAAUCAUGAAACCAAAUUUAACUACAUUAUUUAUACCAAAUAAUACAAUAUCCAAAAGGUAAAAGUACCAUUUCCAAAACACAAAAAUCAGAGGCGGGAGAGUGGUUCCUCUUUCCCAUUUGCAUUGCUCAGAAAAGGGUAGUCUGUGUACCCAACAACAGGGUCUUGCGUGUAGAAAGUCUUCCUGUUAUACCUGGUCAAAGGUGCAUUAAGCUUCAAUCUCAAAACCAAGUCGGGGUUCGAGAUAAAAAGGCGACCAUAAGACACUAAAUCAGCAUCCCUAGAAGCCACAGCAUGAAUUCCAAGCUCCCUAGUGUACCCACCACUAGCAACAAAUGUACCACGAUAAGCAUUUCUUAAAGUCCUCAUAAACACAGCUUCCUCUUCAUCACUGCCAGGUUUGCCAGAUUCGGUUUGGCCAUAUGCUGCGUAACGGGGCUGAGUAACAUGGAGAUAAGUGAGUUUUGAGCCCCAGUCUUGUUGAAGCUUGUUGAGCCUUUCAAUCACUCCAAGGCCUAGGGUAAGUGGAGCAGAGUCAACUGCAUCAAGGUGAUCAAUGGCUGGUGAGAUUCUGACACCAACCCUAUCAGCACCUACGGCUCCAACUACUGCUUGAACCACCUGAAGCAAGAAUUUGCAACGGUUUGCAAGUGAUCCGCCAUACUCAUCUGUUCGAUCAUUGAUCCCAUCUUUCAAGAAUUGAUCAAUGAGGUAGCCAUGUGCCCCAUGAAUCUCAAUUCCAUCAAAACCUACACAUCAUAAGAUUCAAAAUUAAAGCUUACUAGUAAGCACAAAGGUGACAUGCGCUUGACAAAAUCAUUGUAUGAAUUGAGAGAAACCGACCUGCUCUAAUGGCAUUCAAGGCAGCCUGUCGAUAAUGCUCCACCACUUGGAGGAUUUCAGGGGUUUCUAAGCGUCUAGGCUUAGGGUAAGUGGCAUGAGACGCAUCCGGUAAUAGAAUUCUCCACCUCCUCGAAAUGGGAACAUCGGUUGAAGAUAUUGGUGAACCCCCACCAGGUUGGUAAACUACAUCAAUUGACAAAUUACAAGUAAAAAUGGUCACUGAAAUGCUCCAAGCUUUAGACAAAAACUACCAUAAGAAUUGCCAAAUAAAGGACUAGGGUAGUUACCUUCAUGAGAAGCACGACCUACAUGCCAAAGUUGACAGAAAAUAAUGGCACCUUUGGCGUGAACGGCAUCCACCACCUUCUUCCAUGCCUCCACCUGUUCAUCAUUGUAAAUCCCAGGAACAUGUGGAAACCUGCAUCCACCUUAACAUUUAGUAUCACUUUGUAAAAUUCCCACUUCAAAUAACUUUAAGCUAUCUAGCAUAGCAUGUUACGUUGUCGGAUUGUAAAUCAAGUAAAAUAAUAGACCCGUCCGAUUAACUAACAGCCUUAAUUUAUAAUUUGAUAAGUAAAAUCCAGUAAAUUAUAAACAUUGAUUACUUAUGGAUGAGCAAUUAUAGGAAACUAGUUCUAUCUAGUCAAUAUUUGCAAGCAAACAAUUUCUAGUUCUAGUUUACAAGUCAAAGUCAACAUUAUGGACCAAAGUUCUUAGACGAAAAGCUCCUUAAGCCCAAUAGGUCCGAACUACACAAAGUGGGGCCCAACUUGGCAAAGCUUGCUAAUCAUUGAUGAAUACGAAAGAGACACUUAGCAAACAACAAAAAUUACAAAAUUACCCGGCGCCAGUGUCGGAGACCAAAGUGCCUUCGGUGAUCAGAAAGCCGCCGUUGGUUGACCUUUGAGUGUAGUACUCGGCCAGCGCCGGCUGCGGCAAGCCGUUCAACGCUCGGCACCUCGUCAUCGGCGCAAGCACCACCCUGCCAAGGUCAAAUCCGUCAAAACACACCCCAAAGCCAAACAAUUAAAUGAUAAUUAUGCCCUCCCGGAUUUCUCCCCGCUUUUUUCAAAUUCCCGAGGAAAUCGGAAACACCAAGUGGGACCAGAGUUUCAUGUCCGAUGAAAGAAAAAGAGGAGCAGCUAACUCGACUCGAUGCAGCCGCGAAACACUGGAUCAGGUAUGACUGACCUGUGAGACAGAUUGAACUUGCCCAUCUUGAACGGAGAAAAGAGAGUGGGUCCCUGAGAUGAAGCCUCCGCCAUUUUUAGUUCAGACACCGAUCUCAGAUCAAACGAUCGAAAGGCCAGAAAUGAAGUGAGAUCAAAGAAGAAUAAAAGGAGAGAGCUUUUAUAGGAGGAAGCAGUGGCGAUCGGCUCGGCUAUCAAGGGCCGUCUGCGAUCCGACGGCUGUGGUCGGUUUCUGAAGUGUCACCGUGCUAUGAUGCUUUGGCUGCUCUUGUUAGUGGGAUUUUAAUGGUGGUGGUCGGCAACUGUGGGCGGGACCCACAGAGGGAUGUUUCCAUUGCAACGGCAAUGAGAUUCACGUGCGGAUUUAUUUAUGGCCGGUGUCGUUUUGGUUUCUAACUUGGAAUGUUUAAGACGUGUUUGACCGUCGAGCGUUGACUGGACUCGGGUGUUGACGAUGCUGUAGUCUAGUCGGGUCGGGCACCGGCAGGAGAUUGAGUUGGGUUUUGAUUUUGAUAUUGGGCCAGUUACGCUCAUUAUGUCGAAUUUUUAAUGCAUGAGGGGCCUCUUUGGAAAUUGAGAGGCCUGGCCCACUAUUUUAUUCUUGUUGCAAUUGAAACCCCCAAAAUAAAAAUGCCAAAAAUGAGAUGACCAUUAAAAAUAGAAACCCUUGUUGUUUUCUUUUGUAAUGUUAUGUUGUUUAAGAGCACUGGCAGCGCAAGACCCAACCCGGGUAGAAGGGCCCCCAGGCGAGCCCAACACAGCUCCAGCGCGAGGAAGAGAGCCCAGGCAGCUGCUGGGUCCCACGAGCCCGGGCAGGCCCAAAGGCAACUUUAGCCUGGGCUUCAGCCCGAGUUGGAUGACGUCAUGCUGACGUCAUCCCUGACAGCAACCAACUGUAACAAGCCACGUGUCGCGCCAGGGACGCUCCGAUGGAUUUUUUUCCAGAAAUCCGACGGUCCUCGUUUUUUUUGCUAAAAAAAUUGCAAAAAAAUUCUGAAAAAUUCUGAAAUUUUUUUUAAAAAAUACCAAAAAAUUAUGUAUUUUUUCCCUAUAAAUACCUAACCAUUUUAUUUACUUUCCACACAAAAUCUUCAUACAAUUCUUCUCCAUCCCCAAUAUUUUUUACUCUCCACUCACAUUAUUCACUUUCCUCACCAAUUCUCCACACAAACUAUUCUCCUUCCAAUAUUUCUUACUCUUCACUCACAUUUUUCACUUCCCACACCAAUUCUCCAUACAAACUCUUCUCCUUCCAAUAUUUUUUAUCCUCCACUCACAUUUUUCUACUACUUUCCAUUUGUAAAAAGAAAAAAAAAAUCUUAUCUGAAAUAUGAGAUUAUAAUUUUUUUAAAAUAUCUGAAAAUCUUAUCUGACAUGGGACACGUGGUACAAUUUUAGAGGGUGAAAAUGUUAUAUGAAAUCUGAGAUUAUAAUUUUUUUUAAUGAAUAUCUGAAAAUUUUAUCUGGAAUAAGACACGUGGCAAUCGAGAUUCUCAUCCGAAAAUCUUUUCUUAAAACAAUGGACACGUGACAACCAAAAAUAUUAUCCGAAAAUUUAAUUACAAAAGAUUAUCAAAAUUAAUGGUUUAAAGUAUUAAAAAAAUAGGAAAUAAAGUACAAUGAAUAGUAUUUGCCCUAGACUUAGCCCUCAUGGGUGGAACCACAAAUGGCAAGGCUGCCACUAUUCAUGUGAAUAGUGACAGCCCUUGCUUGCCCUUGCCUUAGACUUUGCCCUUAGGGGUGGAGUUGCUCUAAGAGGUGGGAAAUAUUUUCAUCAACAAUUUUUGUAUCCGUCCGGCGCAGUGUGUCCGACACUAAUACAUAACACGAAUUCGACACUAGCAGAACAUAUUUUGUUGAUUAUAAAAAAAUAUAACAUGAAACAAAAUAUAUUGAUAUUGAUAUUUAAUUGAUGCGAUUGCGGUCUGAAUCUGGGACAAGGAUAAGCGUGUAAGCAAUGACUUUUCUUUUUCUUCUGGAUAAAAAUCUACAAUAUCAUUAUCAGUUAUCAUGAUGUAAAAAGAUUGGUAUCCUAUCCAUCCAUCCAUCCAUCCGCUAGAGAGAGACUCCCAAGAGUUGCAAAGGAAGACUGGUUUGAUUAUUUGUGGCCCCGAAGUCAGCAGCGAGCAGUUUGCCCUUUUGGGAAGAUGUACAUGCAUGGGAUGAAAAGUCAUAAAUAAACAGCACACCUCUGUGAUUUGACUGUUAAAUUCAAUUUCCAUUAUAAAUUAAAUAAAUAAAUUCAAUUGGGAUUCAAAGUCAAUUAAGAUUGGAUCCAAGACUUGCACAAAAAUUGAUAUGAGUAUAUUAUUGAAAAACUCCAUCCUUCUAGAUUUUUUUAUUUUUUAUUUAUUUUUUAUUUUUUCUUUUGAGUCAGUCUUUAUGUUCGAAUCUCUAUUGACAGUGUAGAUGAGAAAAUCUUUUUCUCCAAUAUCACUUAUAUAUAUGUAUAUAAUAUAAAAAACUCAUAAUUAUGGUUGGUUAGAUUCUGUCUUGCAUAGAUCAAUCUCUAUCCCAUAUUUAUGGUAAAGCUAUUUUCAUUCACAUGCACUCCUCAAUGGACAAAUCAUAAUAAUUUGCUUUCUUGCAAAUUUGGUUUGUCUCUAUUUUGCUAUGGUGUUGUUGGUAGGUGCAAUUAAGAAUGUUGAAAGCUUAAAACAGAUAAAAAUGGCUAAGGUACAACCCACAGUGUUUUGUUGCCCUAGCAAUGAUGUAGUCAUGUUGGUGAUCAGACUUGGAGCUAUCUCAAACUGAAGUGGUGUGUGGUCCCCACUCCUACAACAUGAGUAGGAAGGGAACAACUUUGUCACACCCUCAUCAUACCACACACAUCCAUGUCCAACUCUCUAAAUCAUGAAAAAUAAAAAAGGAAAUACAAAAAAUACCAACAAAAAAAAUUAUGAGUUAAAAUAUAAAUACCCUUUGAGUGAAAAGAAAAAAACCCAUUGAGCCACGUGUCCCGGUACCACUGUAUGCGGUGCAAGCGUCUACACCUCACCAACCCCCCGCUACGUCCCAAAAAUCUCCACUGAAGAAUGGCGCAGUGCGCGCCGUGUGUACCAGAUAGAGAGGGCAACGCCGCUUGUAAAUAUAUUAUUAUUAUUAUAAAAAAAAAAACUACGAAAAUUCGACAAAAUAAAUAUAAAAUUAGGAGCAAGGCGGGGCCCAGUGGGAUGCACUGCAUAGGAUGCCCAUCGUACAUCUGUUACCAAACAGGCAGAAAAAAGGGUACUCUUUUGUGAGUCCAAUUUUUCUGUUUCUAAUUUCCAUGUGCACUCCAUGUUUCCUAUCUUAUGUUUUUUUACACCAAUCUCUCCACUAAUUUCUAACUUCAACACUGUUAACUUAAAUUAAAAAAACAAAAAUUAAACAGCCGCCACCGCCCCCCACCCAUCCAACAUGGUCAGCCAUCCACCCCAUCGGCGCCAAGAAGGAGAUGAGAAGAGAUGUGAGAGGAGAGGGGUUGCCGAUGGUGGGGUUGGGUAGGGGCUGUGGUGGCUGUUGGGUGUUUAUUUUUCCUUUAAUAAUUAACUUUUAUUUUGUUAAUUUUAUUUAAAGUUAGAAGUUAAUGAGUGACAAGUGUCAAAAAAUUAGAUGAAAAACAGGAUGGCACAAGGAAAUUGAAAUAGAAAAAAAUUGACCAGAAUAGUAAAACAGUGCUAUCCCUUUUUACGCAUGUUUCUCCAAACAGACCUGUAAAUAAUCCGGAAUAAGAAAAAGUUCACACCGUUACGCGCAAAAACACAAACCAAGCAAACAAGGAAAAAAGCAACUGCCGUUACUCUGACCGUCCCUCGUUUUUCUUCUUCGCAGCUUUUUUUAUUCUUUUUUCGACGCACAUGAGGCCUCUCUAUAUAGAGAUAUAUAUAUAUAUAUAUAGUUAAAUGAUUUAUUUUCUAAGUUUUGGUUCGUAAUUUCAUUUAAUUUUUGGUCCGGAAACUCUUCGCAAUUAAACUAAUUGAUUAAAGUUUAAAGCGGAUUAAUUUAUCACCAUCAUCCUCGCUCUCUUCUCCAUUUCGUUUCUUUGAGGAGAAGCAGAAGAACGAAAGCUUUGUUAUGGCCGCCGGAGAUUUCUCUCUCUGAAAUUCUUUCUUGAAUUUUAAGGGAAUUCAGAGGUGGGUUUAUAGUUUUGUAUUUCUCUGAGUUUAUUGUGUGCCAUGUUCGAUUUUCUAUAUUCUAAAGUUGCAAUCUUUUCCUUUUUCAUCCUGAUAAUAAAUUUUCAAUUUUACAAUAAAUAAUUGGUCUGCUAUGCUUGAAUUGUAUGGUAUCUUGUUGAACAUCAUCCAAUAUAGCAAGCAAAAAGUGAAAUUUGUUCUCUUUCUCUCUUAUAUCUGGGGGUUCAGGGAGCUUGUGUAACUGAAACAGCUGGAUAUAAGAAAGUUAACUGAUCAAUUUUAAGACAAAAAGAAUAACGUUUAAAGUCUUUAGCUUUUGAGUUAACAUCUAGCUCAAGAUUAUUAAUCUUUUGUUUCAAAUUGUUGGAAAAUCAUAUAUCUUUGUCUAUGUUUAUAUGUUCAUGUGUUGGAAAUUCUUGUAGAGUUCAGGAAUACUUGUAAAGUUAAAAGCAUGGUUGCAGUGAACAUCAAAGGUUCAAGAUUUAAGUAGGAAUAGCAUGAAAUUAAUUGUUCCAGAGUUCCUGCUUUGAAUUAUAAAGUAUCCCUGCUCUAUGUGUUCACAGUUUCCUGUGUUAAUUGUACUUGUAGCGGGACAGUCUUGAUAAUUAGAAAUAUCAAUGGUUUUGCUAAUGACUUGUAUUGUUGAAGCUUUGAAUCUUUGUUAAUGUUGAAUUUUUUGAUAGGAGGGAAGCCUUUUUGUAUGGAUAAAGAAGAAGAAACUGGUAGCCCUAGUUGGGGUGCUUCGUUUUUCGCACAAACGGAAGAUGUUGCUAGAGCAGUUGCUGCUGUAGCAGCCGCUGCUACUGCCACUCAUUCUCCGAGGCCAUCUGUUGUAUAUUCAUCAAACGAUGAUGGUGGUAAUAGCCCACUUAAAAGACUACAACGCCAUGUUACAAAUGUGCUAAAAGGUUUCUCACAUCCUCCUGAAGUGAAACGUGGAACCUACAAUCCAGAAGUUUUGACUAGCCAGAAGCGCCAAUGGGCAAGCUUUCAGUUGCAGUACUUGGUAUGCAAUUUUGUUAAUUGGUUGCUUAUUUUAUUUCUUAUUUGUGUAUGCAAUUCAGAAAUUGAUUAAUCAAGAAUCAAAGAUGAUUUUUUGUUUUAUUUUUCUUGUUUACAUUGGAACAUCUUUCACGUUCAACAGCUAUACAGCUAUUUCUAAUUACAGUUGUUACUUCAUAUUUUUCUUUUAAAAUUUUUAGAAUAGAACAAUUUAAGGAAAAAUGACAAUUAUAUAUGCUCGCUGUGAGUUUAAGGGUCAUAUGAUACCCUGAGACAUUUUUGUCUGAUAGUUCAGCGGUCAUAUGAUAACCUGAGACAUUUCUUCUUAAAAGUUCAGGGUUUCUGUAUUGUUAGUUUUGAAAUACAUUCACAUAUGAAACAAAAAUUUCAUCCAAAGAGAUUCUGUAACACCUCUGCUAUUUAAGUGUGCAGGAUCAUAGGUCUUUAAAGCUGCCGACAAGGCUUUUCGAGAGCAUGGUUGUUUUGGGGCUUCACCCAAAUUGUGAUGUUCAGGCACUUCAAAGGCAAUAUAUUGCAAGAAAGCAUGAGGGUUUAGGAAGAUUGCGCAGUUCACGUAGUAGUCAGAAUUUCUCUCGUGUGGAACCCAAUCUUGAACCUCAGGUGGGGAUUCUUGUUGCCAAAUAUUCAAUUUGUUUGCAUAUUGACGCUUGCAAGCAAUUUGAGUAGUGGGUAUUAAUAUUCAUUUCUACUUCCAGGUGUUAUUUGUUUAUCCUCCGGAAAAGCAGGUGCCUCUACAAUACAAGGAUCUCCUUUCAUUUUGCUUCCCUGGAGGCGUAGAGGUAAGGUGUUCUCUUGAUGGAUGUUUUGCCACUUGUUCUGUUUAAUUGAUCAGUUUAAUUUUAGGGAUUUAAGAUGGAUGAGCUUUUUCUUUUUUUCUCCUUAAAUCUAUUUAAGAGGAACUCCUUUUGUAAAGCUUAGGUUACAGAGAAUGAUUAUAUAACUUAGCUUGAUCUCGAUGGUAAUAUUUACAAGGGUAAAAUACCUGAGCCUUUAAAUAUUGGAGAUGUUUACCUGAUAGGUUUGAAUGUAUUGUGUUAAUGUCUGUAUUUGAGAAGAAUUUCAGAUAACAAAUAAUUGAUAUUCUGAAUUAGUAUGCUUAUAUUGCUAAGGUUUUCGCAGCUUUUAUAUGGAGAACUUCUUCCGUUUAAGGAAAGUGGGGCCAGUUGUGUAAAUAUCAUAGUGCAAUAGCAACUUGAGUUUAGCCUGAUUUCUUGAUCUUCAGUUAAAUAAUAUCAUAGGCAAUAAAAGAGACGUUAUAUCAAGUUUUACUUGAUUAUGACUAGUACUUGGUGAGAGAUGUUAUUUUUGUCCUAUGUGCAGAUAUUGAUUUGUCUUGUUAAUAUUGUGUAUUUGUUAGUUAAGAUCUAGUUAGUCAUUAUGUGCUAAUAUUAACACCUUGGAUGUGAAUGGCUUCAGGUUCAUGCUGUUGAGAGAACUCCUUCUAUGAGUGAGUUGAAUGAAAUUCUUUUGGGGCAGGUAUAGUGCUACAUUAUGCUCCCAUAAUGUUGUCGAUUAAUGAUUAUGGACACUUAUAUUGACUAUGAUGAUGCUUAUUUGCAGGAGCAUUUUAAACGGACCGAUCUGUCCUUUGUAUUCCGGUUACAGGUAAAUUAUAGCAUGUUAUGUCUCCAGGAUUCCUUUUUCCUUGGAUUUUCCCCUGAUAUGUUUCAAGAUUUCUUUAUAACUUUAAUUCCCUGUGGCAGUUUCCAUUUGACUUAUAAACCCCUACACUAGUAGUGCUGGAUGAUAGAAUCAUCACUGCAGCCUGAAAAUUAUAAUUCAAACAACUUUUUGUCUAGUUGACUGCAAUUAUUAUUUGAGUUGUAUUUGUUCCCACAGAGAAGAAGAUUGGUAACAAAAUGCGAAGCAAAUUUAAGAGGAUUGAUUGUCUUCGUUAUCUUUGAUUAGAUUUAUAUAUGUUUAAAAUGUCAUUAAAAUUAACAGAUGUUAGGUAAGCCUAUUUCUACUUCAUGUGUAUGAACAGUUUAAUUUUUAGUUGUGAAUUAUGCUCAUUUCCUGGAUGACCCAUUUUGUACAAUAUUGGUUUGAAGGUUGCUGAUGACUCAACAUUGUAUGGAUGCUGCGUGUUAGUGGAGGAGCUAGUGCAAAAACCUUCUGGAUUGCUUUCCAUGAUAGCAGAGAAACAUCCUUCUCGCCCAUCUUUGAGUCGCCAUAUAUUAACCACUAAGAGAUGCUAUUGCAUUCUCUCAAGGGUUCCCUCAUUUGAAUUACAUUUUGGUGUAUUGAAUAGGUGUGUUUAUGUCAUAUUGAAUGCUUAUAAAAAACAUAUUUAUCUCAGUGAUUUGCGUUUUUCAUUUUAACUUUGAAAUGUAUUCUAAUCCCCUCUAGACUUUCGUAUAAUUAAUGUGUUCCUCUGCUAUCUAAUCAUGCAUGAAGUUGAAGAUCGUAUUAUUAAAUUGUCUGAGAAAAAAAAAAAAAAGAGAUUCAUUUCUUAGUUCAGUGAGAAAAAAGAAAUUGUAGCAACUUCAAUAGAACACAUAAAAGCUUUUAACUACCAGUUUAUCACAAGAUCCAAAUUUAUUGAGCGACUGGUGCAUGGUUUUGUGUGAGGGGAAUGUGUAUGCUCCACUGUUUGGCCCCAUAAUUUGACAUUCUUCUUUUACUAUUUGAUACCAACAUAUAACUUUGCAAUUCAUCUGUUGCUCAACUUGACUAUGUUUGCUAUUCCCCUGUAGCAUCUUCACAGAAGAAAGGUUGGAACGAUUAACGAAAGGUAUUGAUCUUUUAGAUUUAGAAACCCCAAAGGAUUAUGGCAAUGGCGAAAUUUUAGAAGAAAAUACAGAAGAAACUUCACACAGCGUAUCACUAAGUAGUAGAACUGAGGAGAACAUGGUGAAUAGAACAGCAGAGUUUUCUCAAUCAAGUUUAAAAGAUUCUUCAUUUGGGAGAGUUGCAGAUAAUGGCAUUCACCUAGAGAAUCAAAUGCUUGAUGGGGAUUUUAACUUGUUGAAGGGAAGGGUGAUUGAAAACGUUGUUGUUCCAAUUGAUCCUGAAACCAAGACGGCCAGUUCCAAGAGAGAAUCUGAUGUUGCAAAUGCUGAAGUUUCUGAGGUCUAUGUUGAUGAUUUCUCUGCAAACAAGCAAACUGUAGAAAGGCGAUUACCAAACGCUGUUCUACCUCUCCUGCGUUAUUAUCAGUAUGAAAGCUCUGAAUCUUCCUCCAGGUAGAUCAUUGUUGUUCUUUGGUGCCUUUUCACUUGUAUUUCAUGCUUUUUAUUACUUGCAUUAGUAGUUAUUAUCUUUUCUCUCUCUCACUAAUUCUUGGAGCAGAGAAUUGCACUUUUUUCUUUGAGCUACUUCAAGUUGCUGCACUCAUGCCAUUUAUUAGUGUUUUAUGCAGUUUUCAGGGCUCUCCCAGCGAGGACAGAAAUUUUAGGAGUGAUGUUGAUGAUACAGAGACGGAAGAGGCAUCUUUCUCUGGCCAAGAUGAUUCUGACCUCAUUGAUAUUCUUGAAUGGGCUAAGGUGAAAAAUGAACUUUUCCUUUUUGGAUCUAGAUAUGAUUCUAAGCUCUUUGUAACAAGAAUCUUGUGCCCAGGCGUUCUCUUGACAAAUUUUUCCCAAAUUUUCAGGCAAACAAUCAUGGAUCAUUACAGAUAAUAAGCGAGUACUACCAAUUACGUUGCCCUGCUAGAGGUUCCACUGUUAGAUUUCAUCCUUUGGAGCACUUGCAUCCCUUGGAAUAUCAUAGACCAGAAACAACCGUUUUACAUAUUGCUGGCUCAACCAUUGAUUUGAGAUCGUGCAGUACAAGUCUAGAAUUUGCUGAGGUAGAUGGUGAUGAUAGCUUUAAGAAACUUUCCAAUUUGAUAUGUGGUGGAUUUGGUUGAACUUUUGAUUGAUUAUGUCCCGGUUCCAGACAUGAUUAAUCAUUCACAUUGCAUUGCUGUUGAUUAUUAUUAGGCACAGGGUGCACUCUCGGUAGAGGAGGAAGCAACUGCAUUAUCAGUAUGGGCUAUUGCAUGCAUAUGUGGCUCCUUACGGCUUGAAAAUGUUAGUUAAUGGCUCAACAUCACAUGAGUUCUACAGACUUCAUUGAUUAUAUUGUUAUCUUUUCCCGUUUCUUGGAACUAGUUAAUAGCUUGGCCAGUGCUAUUUAAAGUUUCUCAUAGGUUAACACUGUUUUGUUGAAAUAAUUUUUUUUAAUUAAACAAAAUGGAUUUAUUUGUUUUCAACCAACAAGGUAAAUUCGUUUUGUUAUGCUGACAGUUGAAACUGAUAGUGGCGUCUACACUUAUAAGCUAAUUGAAACUGUAGAAUUACUGCAUGAGUAAAACUGGCUCCAACAUUUACAACAUUUAUGAAGCGGGAAUCAAUUUAAAAUCUCCUCAAAGGAAUCAUUAAUUACAAUGUUGUAAGAGUGGAAUGAUAUCCUGCGUAUUAUUUGUGGGUAUUGUGCAGUGUCAGAAUGUUUUCGUUAGUAUAUUAUAUUGAAUGUACAGUUAUAUGAAUGCAUGUAGAUUUGUGUGUGCCUGCUUCAUGUCUGACUUUGGAUUAUUGAUUCUCCUCAUACUUCGCAGGUAUUAACAUUGUUUGCAGGAGCACUGUUGGAGAAGCAGAUUGUAAUUAUUAGUUCCAAUUUGGUAUGUAUUAUAAAUUAUAUCAAGUUUAUAAUGUUUUGAUGAAGAUUAUCAAUCUGAUGCAUGUAUUCUUUUUUACUCGAUGUAAAUUUUAUCAGAGAAAUUUAUUGGAUUUAUUAACAUCUUGCCAAAUGCAUGUUCCAAAACAGAACUGUAUAAGUAUCAACUGCUGCUUAUUUCGUAACAAGCUGAAAAAGCUCAACCCAAAUGAAUUUAGUUGGAGGUAGUAAAGAACUGUAUAAGUUAGCCUCAGGCUAUAGGUGCAAGUUUGAACUUCCAAAACAGAGUGGCUCCUUUCUCAACAAGUCCCAGCAAGCGAGGCCUAAGGACCAGUUACACCCAUUUAUGUUGUUUAUUAGAGAUAGCUUGGCUUAGGAACUUUUUUUGAGUGACACUAGUGUUGCCAUCAUUAUUAGAUCGUAGUUUUGUUUAUUUAUCAAAAGAUCGUAUUGUUACUGUUUCAUUUGCUUAUGUACUUAUUUUUCGGUAAGCUAAUAUUUUAAUAUGGGUGUGGACUGUUCCAUUAUUUUUAAAUUUGUUCUAAUAAUUUAGUUCUUUGACUAAGAAAAAAGAUCUACAAAAGAAUUUACAUCAAUGCUUUCUGAUGUACAGGGUAUCUUAUCUGCCUCAGUAUUGUCAAUUAUCCCUCUGAUCCGUCCCUACCAGUGGCAAAGCCUGCUAAUGCCGGUAUGUUUUCCUUCUAGCCUACUGCCUGUGAGAUUUGUCCCAUGAGAAGUUACUUUUUUUAAACAUAAUAAUUUCAUUGCUGUUUUCAUGUGAAUAACAAUGUGCAUAUACUUUCUAGGUUUUACCAAAUGACAUGCUGGACUUUUUGGAUGCACCUGUCCCUUACAUAGUGAGUUCUCAAUUUGUUGGCUGUUAUGCCUAUUAGUGCCAUGGAUUAUGAAUUCAUGUUUGUUGGUUUAUCUGGACUCUGAAUUUCCUCAAGUUAUUAGUUGAAAGCAAAAUUUUUUAAUCGUUCACCAUAUGAUUUAAUCCUUAUCUGUAGGUUGGUGUGAAGAACAAAACAAAUGAAGUGCAGUCAAAACUAGCCAAUGUAAUUCUAGUUGAUGCAAACAAGAACCAGGUCUGUUGUUUUUUAAGCAGUUGUAUUUUUCUACUUAUAUUGCAGCUCAAAUAUGUUCAGACUGGUUAUUAACCGUAUGCCUUACAAUAAACAAAGCAGAAAGUUUCUAUAUAUUAGUUUACCAUUUCCCAUGCUUAUGUAUUAUCUAGUUUUUUGGAAUGGCUAGUAUUUAUCAAAAUGCAAAAUAUUCCUCUAAAAACAAAUAAAAUGCGAGUGUCUGAUCCUUUUCCCAUUGUGUGAUCUAAUAGGUGAAGUCACCAACACUACCUCAGUUACCACAACAUAAGGAAUUAUUUUCAUCCUUAAGUCCUUAUCAUGCAAAGCUUGUGGGAGAGAGUUUUUUGGCUAGGAAAAGGCCAGUGUAUGAGUGCACAGCUGAACAGGUGUGUUCUGCUUUGUUCUUUUUUGUCUGAUUUCAAAGUUUUUAAUUAUUUACCAUUAUUCUCAUGUGUUUAUUUGCCGCAUGUAGGUUGAAGCUGCCAAGGGUUUCCUAUCAGUGUUAAGAACUUACUUGGAUUCUCUGUGCUCUAACCUCCGUUCACACACAAUUACAAAUGUACAGUCGAAUGAUGAUAAGGUCAGUUUGUUGUCCAACUGUGAUAGCUGAAAUGCUGUAUAAGGAUAUUUAGGUUUUUUUGACCUUCUUUGGAAUGAUGAGUGGUAAAUAUAAUCUUCCAGAAAAAUGGCCAGGCACACACUCACAGACACACUGCUAGUCAUUAGAUAAGCUAGACUUCACUAGUAAUGAUGAUUGCUGUAAAAGUUUAGGUAAUAUAUGUCCUGAAACAAAUAUCACUAUAUUAUUCUGUUACACUGAGGGUGCAAUGUUGGCUAAUGUUAUUUUUCAAAUUUAUUUUUGUAUGCUUUACUUGUGAUGGACUAAGUUCUGUUGAAGUGUCAAUGGAACCUCAGCAUAAUACAUCCUUAUAUCAUUCACUUCGUACCUUCAGUUAUGUUGAAUUGAUAAGUGCAGAUCAAUUUGUCAAUUCUUUUGAAUGUGAAAUGCUUGCUCAUAUAUCUAGUGACAUUCAUAUGUGAAUGCACAAUCAUAUGGUGACUUGUCUUGGAAGAAUCCAAAUGUAUUGCUGCUGAUCUGACACUGAUUUUCUUGUAAUUAGGUAUCCUUACUUUUGAAGGAGAGUUUCAUCGACUCGUUUCCUAGUCGUGAUCGACCAUUUAUGAAGGUGUGUUCCAUGACAUAAUUUUCUUUUGUUUCUCUGAGUUAACUGAACAGCCCAUUGGCUUGAUCAUUCUAUAGAAUUAGCUAGCUGUUGGGAUUUUAGUCUUAUGUAUUUCCUUAAGGUCAUUAUUAUUGUUAUCUUAUUUUUUAUUUUUGCCUAUUUUCUGAAAGUAGUUUAUAAUAGAUGGUGUUGGUUUCUGUGUUCUGUGUUCGUAUUUGGAUGAGUGUAGUAUAGGAUGUCACGCUGAAGGCAUCUAAGUUUUUAGUCGAGUCAUGUAGAUAAAUCACUGAUUUAACCUCCUUUUUCUCUUCGUUUUUGAAAGUGACUUGUAAUGAUUCUUACUUCAAUGCUUACUCGGGAUGCUCUUUAAAUUGUAAUACAGCGGAAAGCAUACUGAUGUUUCCUUUUCUCCCUAAAUGCUAUGCAGCUUUUUGUGGACACUCAACUCUUUUCUGUACAUACGGAUCUUGUUCUCUCAUUCUUCCAGAAGGAAUAGUCCUAAUCUGAACAUACGCCAUGCUGAGGUCUGGCAGUGAGUUAUAUUUUCCUGUUGUAACCUGAACGUAAGUUCGGUAUGAUGUCAAAUUAUUAAGUGACAUAAUAUUCAAGAACUCAAUCUGGCUUCUUGAAAUGGCACUUCUCUUCCCCAAAUGAAAGUUGCCUGCUUCGCAUCGCGGCAUUCUGUAUCAUGAUGAACUUGUAUUCCAGCAUAUGAGAGAACUCGCAGAAUUCUGGUAUCCCGCUUGAAGUGUAAAUAGUAAUUUUGUUUUAUUUACUUGAGUUAGUAAAACAUGACUGUUUCACCGUUCCGAUUUAAUAAAAAUUUAGCGGUUGGUUAUUGAGACAUACCCGCCUUAUGCUGUUGUUCGGUGUGGCAGGCUGGUGCUUAACUUCUUGAGGAUAUGCACAUUGGUUGUGUGGGGGCCUUUUUUUUUUUCUUUUUUUUUCCCCCCCGGAUCUUAAACUAAGUUACUUUGAAUGGUGCUAACUGCAACAUUUCCUAAAAUCCUGCAAACAAAAAUAUACAGAACUUUUUCUCCACCAAUUCGACUUUACGAAGUCUUGAAAAUUUUUAGGUUUCCUGGUUAAGUUUCAUGCCAAAUCUCAUGUAUAAUUCUUGGAAUGCAUUCAGAAAUUUUACAGAGUAAUUAAAAAGAAAGAAUAUCAUACAACUUUUGAAUACAGUAACAGUCCAGGUUAAAAUACAUUAACUUGGAGGGAAGUGAAAAAAACAAAAAAAGGGUGUCUUUCAACCAGUGGUUGGGGAUACUUGAAGGGAUGUUUUUGGCUCAAGUGGGAUCAAUAUAAAAUAAAAAUAAAAAAAGGGGAAAGGUCGGUUUGCAUUGCAUGUGUUUCAGCCUGCCAGGUGAUCCAAGAACAGUGCUAGACAAUACCCUACUUGUGCAAUUUCCGAACGUACAAUACAAGAAUAGUUUCAGGGGCAAAUAAAUGCAACCAAACAUUAGGAACUCUCUUAAAUACUUUGGUUUUUUUGUUUUACUUUUAACACCCCAGCACCACCACCACUUUCAUUGAAUUCAGUUAUAUCAUCACUAUGAGGGUCCUAAUAAUGCAAGUCUUGGUCACCGCCAAUUCAAAGAUGGCCUUCUUCUAUUUUCAAAGUCAAUAUAUAUGUCUCUAUUAUUCUCAAACCCCCAAGUCAAAGUAUAACUAUAAGAGGAAAAGGAAACGCAGAGAAUAUAUUUUUCUCUUAUUUGUUUACAACUUUGGUCUGAGUUGUGAUGUAAUCUAAAUCAGAGAAGCAGUGUCUUCUGUUUACAAGUCUUGAACUUUGACUUGUUCCCUUGGUUGGUCAGUCACUUCACUUGUAUGCUUGCAAACCACUUAAGAUUAAAAAUAAAAAAAGUUUACUUGUAUUGUAUGCUUGCAAGCCACUGAUGAUCAUGGGCCUGCCUCCUGCCACAGGCCAAGGAAACCCAUUUAUUGAAGACUUGGAGUGAAAAGUUUCAUGUAUUUUAUUGCUCUCAAGUUCUCAACAAGGUUAGAGUUCUUCUGAUAAAAGUUUAUAACUUUAUAAGCUAAAGUGAACUGAGAAAAAAAGAAAACUCCUGUCCUUUGGAUCAGUAAUGACCCUUAAUCAUAAGGUUCAAAUCAACGGUUAAGAUCUGCACACUAGUUUAUAAUGCAGGAAAAAAAGAAACUUGUCUGAAGAAGAAGAAGAAAGA